rnacentral:lncRNA from 1 species
GGGGGGUUGAAUUGUGUUUUAGCUAAGUUAAAACUUUUUCAAGUUCUUAACUCAACUACGUUCGCAGCGGAUAAAUAACACAAAUAAUAACAAGGAAGAGAGAGAGAAGUCACACAAGCAGUUUAUACUGGUUCCUCUCACAAAACGAGAGUAGUCCAGUCCGCUUGCACUUCCAAGGGAUUUCACUAUAAUCACACAAGAUUACACCUGCUCAAGCACACAAGCAAGAGACUUCUCAACAAUGCUCAAGCACACAAGCUUAAGACUUCACACUUAAGCACACAAGCUUAAGUUUCACACUUAAGCACACAAGCUUAAGUUUCCUCAAGUAAAUAGUAAAGUAUAUAAGAAUAUACAAAUACUCUUAGAUGAACCUAAAGAAAGCAAAUACAAAUAUUACAGAGUAUUUGGCUAAAGUGCAAAAACACUUGAGAAAGGUUCAGAGCUUGUAUAUCACAGAGUUCAGAGUUUGUUCAGCGCACGUUCAAUUCUUGAUAAAAUUAUUAUAUAUGUUGUAGCUGAAUCUUCUAGUAUAUAUACCACUAGAAAAGAGUCGUUGC